rnacentral:misc_RNA from 1 species
GGGAUUGAAAAGACAGAAGAGAAAGUGAAAGAGGAAGACGGUGACGAGGACCACCAGAACUACUCUCUCUCUCUCUCUCUUUUAAACUUUUAAUUUCUGAAAAGAAAUUACUCAUGUAGUGUUUACUGGAUCGAAAAUUGGUGGAUGGACUGAGGUUAAGAUGGAAAGAAAUGGUGGACUUGUGGUGGUGGAGUGAAGGCAGAGGUGUCUUUCUUGAGAGAAGUAGUAAGGUAAAAAAGAUUAUUAAAAAAUAAGAAAAAGGAAGAAAGGAAUGAUUUGAAAAGAAAAAAGAAUAAAGUUGUUAUAACACUGGUUUCACGCACUCAACAACAAGUGAAUUUCACAGGUUUUGCCAAGUCUGCAUGACGUGUUUAAUAGGUACAUAUUUUUUAAGAUGGAGUAUCUAAUAAGUAUCAAGGUUAGGUUGAGGCUCUGAGUGAAUUCUGUGGACAAUUUUAAGGGGCCAUCUAUGACUUGAGUCCAUUUUUUACUUUAGAUUUCUUUGAAAUAUAUAUCCUAGUCUUGAACUAUUAAGCCAACUCAAGUAUCGGGCAAUCAUGAUUGUGAAUAAGAAAAUAGUUUAGAAAGCUAAAAGGGGUGUACUCUGAAUAUUUUC